rnacentral:rRNA from 1 species
AGCGAACGCUGGCGGCAGGCUUAACACAUGCAAGUCGAGCGGGCAUCCUUGUGGUGUCAGCGGCAGACGGGUGAGUAACGCGUGGGAACGUGCCCUUCGGUUCGGAAUAGCUCAGGGAAACUUGAGCUAAUACCGGAUACGUGCGAGAGCAGAAAGGUUUAUCUGCCGAAGGAUCGGCCCGCGUCUGAUUAGCUAGUUGGUGAGGUUAUGGCUCACCAAGGCGACGAUCAGUAGCUGGUCUGAGAGGAUGAUCAGCCACACUGGGACUGAGACACGGCCCAGACUCCUACGGGAGGCAGCAGUGGGGAAUAUUGGACAAUGGGGGCAACCCUGAUCCAGCCAUGCCGCGUGAGUGAUGACGGCCUUAGGGUUGUAAAGCUCUUUUCUGCGGGACGAUAAUGACGGUACCGGAGGAAUAAGCCCCGGCUAACUUCGUG